GACGAACGCUGGCGGCGCGCCUAACACAUGCAAGUCGAACGAGAGAUGAAGAGCUUGCUCUUCAGAUCGAGUGGCGAACGGGUGAGUAACGCGUGAGGAACCUGCCUCAAAGAGGGGGACAACAGUUGGAAACGACUGCUAAUACCGCAUAAGCCCACGGCUCGGCAUCGAGCAGAGGGAAAAGGAGCAAUCCGCUUUGAGAUGGCCUCGCGUCCGAUUAGCUAGUUGGUGAGGUAACGGCCCACCAAGGCGACGAUCGGUAGCCGGACUGGGAGGUUGAACGGCCACAUUGGGACUGAGACACGGCCCAGACUCCUACGGGAGGCAGCAGUGGGGAAUAUUGCACAAUGGGGGAAACCCUGAUGCAGCGACGCCGCGUGGAGGAAGAAGGUCUUCGGAUUGUAAAUUCCUGUUGUUGAGGAAGAUAAUGACGGUACUCAACAAGGAAGUGACGGCUAACUACGUGCCAGCAGCCGCCGUAA
rnacentral:rRNA from 1 species